AUUGUAUCCACGAUUGGGGAAUUUUCCGCAAUGGGCGAAAGCCUGACGGAGCAAGACCGCGUGAGGGAGGAAGGCUCUUGGGUCGUAAACCUCUUUUCUAUGGGAAUAAGAAAGUGAAGGUACCAUAGGAAUCAGCAUCGGCUAACUCCGUGCCAGCAGCCGCGGUAAUACGGAGGAUGCAAGCGUUAUCCGGAAUGAUUGGGCGUAAAGAGUCCGUAGGUGGUGAUUCAAGUCGAUUGUUAAAGAGCGGGGCUUAACCCCGUAGAAGCAGUGGAAACUGAAUCACUAGAGAGAGGUAGGGGUGGAGGGAAUUCCCGGUGUAGCGGUGAAAUGCGUAGAGAUCGGGAAGAACACCAGUGGCGAAAGCGCUCUACUGGACCUCAUCUGACACUGAGGGACGAAAGCUAGGGGAGCGAAAGGGAUUAGAUACCCCUGUAGUCAAUCGUGGAUACAAU
rnacentral:rRNA from 1 species